GACGAACGCUGGCGGCGCGCCUAAUACAUGCAAGUCGAACGAGAGCGACCGGUGCUUGCACUGGUCAAUCUAGUGGCGAACGGGUGAGUAACACGUGGGUAACCUGCCCAUCAGAGGGGGAUAACAUUCGGAAACGGAUGCUAAAACCGCAUAGGUCUUCGAACCGCAUGGUUUGAAGAGGAAAAGAGGCGUAAGCUUCUGCUGAUGGAUGGACCCGCGGUGCAUUAGCUAGUUGGUGAGGUAACGGCUCACCAAGGCCGUGAUGCAUAGCCGACCUGAGAGGGUGAUCGGCCACAUUGGGACUGAGACACGGCCCAAACUCCUACGGGAGGCAGCAGUAGGGAAUCUUCCGCAAUGGACGCAAGUCUGACGGAGCAAUGCCGCGUGAGUGAAGAAGGUUUUCGGAUCGUAAAACUCUGUUGUUAGAGAAGAACAAGUGCUAGAGUAACUGUUAGCACC
rnacentral:rRNA from 1 species